AACGAACGCUGGCGGCAUGCCUAACACAUGCAAGUCGAACGAGACCUUCGGGUCUAGUGGCGCACGGGUGCGUAACGCGUGGGAACCUGCCCUUAGGUUCGGAAUAACUCCCCGAAAGGGGUGCUAAUACCGGAUAAUGUCUUCGGACCAAAGAUUUAUCGCCUUUGGAUGUGCCCGCGUUGGAUUAGCUAGUUGGUAGGGUAAAAGCCUACCAAGGCGACGAUCCAUAGCUGGUCUGAGAGGAUGAUCAGCAACACUGGGACUGAGACACGGCCCAGACACCUACGGGAGGCAGCAGUGAGGAAUAUUGGACAAUGGGCGAAAGCCUGAUCCAGCAAUGCCGCGUGAGUGAUGAAGGCCUUAGGGUUGUAAAGCUCUUUUACCCGGGAUGAUAAUGACAGUACCGGGAGAAUAAGCUCCGGCUAACUCCGUG
rnacentral:rRNA from 1 species